rnacentral:rRNA from 1 species
UACAGAGGCGGCAAGCGUUGUUCGGAAUUAUUGGGCGUAAAGAGCACGUAGGCGGCCUCGUAAGUCAGUUGUGAAAGCCUUCUGCUCAACGGAAGAACAGCAUCUGAUACUGCGAGGCUAGAGUGCGGGAGGGAGAGUGGAACUUCUGGUGGAGCGGUGAAAUGCGUAGAUAUCAGAAGGAACACCGGCGGCGAAAGCGACUCUCUGGCCCGUAACUGACGCUGAGUGUGCGAAAGCUAGGGGAGCAAACGGGAUUAGAAACCCGAGUAGU